CCUGAGGUCAGCUGUUGAAUCAAAGACUUCCACUGAGGUUUAAUGGAUCUCAACCUGGCUGCACAUUAGGCUUACACAGGGAUAAUUAAUGUUGCUGAUGUUUUAGCCCAUACCCGCUGUCCCCAGAGAUUCUGAUUUAAUUAGUCUGGGGCAGGUCCAGGAUUGGUAUGUUUUAAAAGAUCUGCAGAUAAUUCUAAUUCAUGGUCAAGAUUGAGAACCACUUCAUGAAGUAGCUGGGAAAACUGCCUAGCAAAGAUGCUCUCUGGAGUGUGAUGUCCUCUCCUGGGGAGUCUGACUAAGACAAAUAAUUGGCUCCAGCAGUGGGUGUAGAUAAAGAUGUAGUCUCAGGAGAAGAAGCAUAAACAGAGAAGCUGAAUCAAGAAAAUGAUUUUCUAUUGGAGUUGCUGAGGCUCCAAAAGUGCCAGCAGUGUGAUCCUCAGCAUCUCACUGAGAUGGAGUCUCACUCUGUCGCCCAGGCUGGAGUACAGUGGAGCAAUCUUGGCCAACUGCAAGCUCUGCCUCCUAGGUUCACGCA
rnacentral:lncRNA from 1 species